rnacentral:lncRNA from 1 species
CCAUCGGCAACUGCCGACCUCCACAUUCUGUGACAAUCCUCGCCAUCGCAGACCAAGAAGAGAAAUCGGAGACCAUUCGAUCCGUUAGUUCCAGACCAUACUCCGUUUUUUUAGUCAGAUUCGCUAUCAAGGAUGAGGUUUAUAAAGAUCCGUCAAGCAAAUCUCCAAUGGCGUCUUGUUGAAGGACACUCACAACAACAAGUAUCUCAUACGACAUGUUUUUGAGCUUCAGAAAGGUAAAACAGAUAAUUGGACCACAAGGGCGCGCUAAUAUUGAAUACUUGCCGUUCAGGUCCAUGUGCUCAUGGAGGCCUGGCAUCAGAUGACACGCCACAAGCAACAUUUUACACCACUCCCGCAGAUUUGUCUACACUUAUAUGCGGGGAUUCACGCUACCGUUGACGGUCAGAAUAUAACCAUCACACAUGUGAUGAUUAGCAACACAUAUGAAUUCGAUGACCUUGAUGCUGUUAAGUGGUAUUCUGAGAAAAGAGUUCGAAUUUGUAUGGAUAUGAUGGGCUAUAAUGUAGAGCCUCAUGAAUCGCCAUUUCAAUAAUCGUGAGUAUGAUUUCAUUUGUGGCUUACACGAUUUCAGUAACUGUGACUCGUAAGAAGCCGAAGCAGGAGCCGACUUCUAAUGGGCCGGAGUUGGAGCCGGCGCCGGAAAUGGUUAUACCAAUGAACGAUAAUGUGAUGAACUUGGAUCAGUCGGAAUUCUCAAGUUUCACAAGUGAUGAACUUGGAUGGAAAACUUGGAACUCUGAUAAUGUGAUUAUAUCUUUGACAGAUAUGAUUGUGGAAGACUUGGUUAAAGAAGACUUGGUUGAAGAAAACUUGGUUGAAGAAUACAUGGCAAAUCACUUUGGCAGCUUUUCAAUGAAGAUGAUUGUGGAAGACUUGGUUAAAGAAGACUUGGUGGUAAUGAAAGAUUGAUCAUGAAAAGGUAAUUUUUGUUUUUGAUGCAUUCAUGAAGAAGCAGUACCAAAAGAAGGUGUUUAACCCCUUGUGGAGAUAUAUUGCACAUGUAAUCUUACGAUGCAUGUCUUGUAGAAGAGACAACUUCGAAGAAUUAAACCAACGGUCGGCGUCAAUGAUGAUAGCGUUUGCAUACCAAUAGUAGUUUAGUUACUACAGCUACAUCUUCUAUGAACUGUGCAAUCAUAUUCAAUCAGAAUCAAAGUU